ensembl:lncRNA
GCCUUUAAUUACAAGGUACCUGCUAUUUACAUGUAAUUAUACUUUUAUAUACAGCUUGAAUAAAGUUCAUUACAUGUAAACUAUAAGAUAUGACAAGUUAAACUUCAGCCUUUCGGGAACAUUCAGAAUAGAAAUACUAUGAGCAGAAAAACACAGAAAACAAAUAUCUGUUUCAGUUCCUUAGGUACCAUUACUGGAUCAAUGAUCAAGAUCUGGCCACAGAAGAGAAUCAUAAAUAUGCCUCAAAUUGAAACUUAAUCUUAACAUGACUAACCAUAUUGCUAUUAUUUAAACCCUAAACAUAAUUAAUAAUUGGAUCAUUAAAAACAACACAAUUUUAAUUGUUAUAGCACCUUUCUUCCAGAGUUCAAAGCAUUUGUAUUUAUAGUAUCUCAUUUGUCCCCAUAACAUCCCUAUGAGGUAGGCAGUGGUUGGUAUCAUUAUCCCCAUUUUGUAUAUGGAGAAACUGAGGCACAGAGUAGUUAAUCAUUUGUUCAAGGUCGCACAGUAAAUUCAAUGCUGGAACUGGGACCACGGAGCCAGGAGCCUGUCUUCAAAACCAAUGCUUCUCUUUAAACUGUCUCCUCUGAGAAUUUAAUUCAGUACCUCAAUUCACAUUUCUAAGAAGUAAAAAGUGUGCUUUUUGUUCCCCCAUAAAAAUUGUUGAAAUACUCUAGGUGAGAAAUAAACAUUCUGGGCCAGAUGGUAGACUGAUGCUAUGUUUGUCUAGAAAGAGUGCAUGGAAGUCUUUUGUUGGUUUUGUGUUUUCGUUAUGCAGCGUUUCUUUCCCCAGUUUAAAAAAAAGUUAGAAGGAAACAUAUUUGAAAGGAUGCCUCUAGUUACCUACAGAUUUUGCCUGGAGUAGCUAUACUAUGCUAUCCAUGAACAAGAUUUGUUCCUGAGUUCACCAAGAAGAAAAUACCUAAACAAUAAUUUAGAGAUAAUUUUUCUCAAUCUUAUACAUGUUUACAGAGUGUUCCUUAAGAGACAGACUCAGGGUGCUAGGAAGCGUGUUGGAAUAAAACGUUUUCCAGAGUCACACAUGCAGGGGCGGGAAAUCUUAGUUCAAAUUUUACUUCUAAUCCCUGCCUUGAUUGCCCCCUACCCCAAUCAGCGACAUAGUUGGUACUCAGAAAAAAAAAAAAAAUUUUUUUUUCAAAGUGUCAAAAUAUGAGACAUUACAGAACUCUCUCCAGCGCUUGUUGACUUGGAUGUAAGAUUCAACUUUCUCAAGUUUUUCGAGCUUCUCCGCAAGAAGGGAGCACUGCUAAACGUCCUGCCAGUUUUCCAGGAUGUGAGCAGGCAGCCACCAAGGGGCCCACAGGAAUUAAGUUUCUAGUGAGGCUCCAGGAAAAACAAGAGAAGCUCCUAUUUGAAAGGAUAGAGGAGUUCCCGUCGUGGCUCAGUGGUAACGAACCCAACGAGUAUCCAUGAGGAUGCAGGUUCGACCCCUGGCCUUGCUCAGUGGGUUAAGGAUCUGGCAUUGCUGUAAGCUUCGGCACAGGUGGGGCCCUAAAAAGCAAAAAAAGAUGUGAAAAAAACAAGCAAGCUUACUGGAUGGGCCAUGAUCAUCCUGUCAGGUUCACUUAUGGGUUUUACCUGAAAAACACACGAAAAACUUGUCAAAGGAAUGUUCAGAGCACAAUGCACGCCUUUGGUUUCAGUCUCUUCGCCUAAGGAAAGGCACUGCUGUCUUUCAGGGAAGCCUUUGCUUCCUCAAUGGGGAGCUAAAAUUACAUUUCUUUUUCUCCUGAAACUUAAAAAAAAGAAAAGGAAAGAGUCUGUUGACACUCAUGGUUUCCCACUUCUUGAGUUAAAAAACAAAAUAAAACCAGAUAUGACAACAAGAUGGUUCCUAACCCGCUGAGCCACAAUGGGAACGCCCUCAACAGAAUUUUUUACAAGUUCUUUUCCAUGGCCCCUUAGUGCCAACCAGGCUCAUGAAAGAUAUAAGGAAGAGUGUACAUGGUUUAACAAAUUUCAUGACAAAUAACCCUUGGCAUCUGCUUCUGCGGGUGGAUCUAUCCUUAUCUAGGCUGCUUGUGAUGCUGAAAAAUGUCAGCUGGCCAGAACUGUUUGCAUGCGGGUGGUGGGGAUUGGUUCUGGGCUGCCAGGCAGGGUCUGAGCUACCAAGAGGGUAAUUUGGAUUGGAAAGGAGGAAAUAGAACAUCCUAAGAGUAGCAGACUCAGAGGGGCUGGGGUGGCGCUAUGAGAAGUGACAGCGGUUAAAAAAUUCCCAGUACUGAAAACCACUUUCCUGCUCCUCUGUGAACUGGACAAGUUGACCAACACAAAGACCUUUUGAGACAAUGAAUCAGAGUGAUGCCAACUGUCAUGAAUUAUUUUUGAGUAUUUUUGAGUAAGAGGAGUACUUUGAAACUGAUUGGGACUCCCUAACAUAUAACAUAUCACUUUUGGGGGAAAGUAUUUUUAUGGGGAAAAAAGUGCACGCACAAUGAAAUGCAAAUUCCUGUUCAUUCAUUUAUAUUUCCAACUUUCCCUGAAAACAUGAGGCAUGUUGAUACACUGCAAUAUUUAAAAGGUAACAUCAAGACAUUUUCCUGUUGCCAGUUUAACAUACAGAAAUAUGAAGAAUGACAAUUACCAACCUCUAUAAUUCAUUACACAAGGUGAUCUGAGACGGAGCACAAUACAGUUUUCAAAAACACCUACAGUUUAUAAGUGGGGAGCAAGAAAAAUUAAAAAUCUAAUUGCCUUGAGAGAAAUAUAUUAUCAAAUUGAAUACUUCAAAUGCCUUUUUCAAAAGCAAAAAUUGUAUGUCUCAUUUCAUCUGGCAUUAAGAAAACCUUAACUACAACUUACUAGUUAAAGAAAAGAAGAACCUGAAAAAAACAACAAAAUACUUCAUAAAUAUCAGAGACUGGAUGUAAACACAACUUUAAAAUGAGCCAUAGAGAAGAAAAAAGAAUGUUUGUUCUCUUCUGGACCAUGAUUUUAUUUAAUUUACUUUGGUAAUUCCAGAUGAAGAUUCCAAUUUAGCACAGUUUCUGCACGGAUCUCUUCAAGUCAAAUACUUUUCUAAGUGUGUACAACUUGUCUAACGACACUGUCAGGUAUAAUGUAUUGAAGAAAAGGUACAAUACAGAGCAAGAAAAUACUAGCAUAGGACAAGACAUUUAGACUUCACUGCAAAUAAAGCCAUAUUUGAUAGUAGAGACGCAUGUUCCUAUUUUCACAUCAGUCAUUUAUUAACACCAAACAUUACACUUUAACUUUUCCCAGUGACACAGUACAGUACGCCUGUCAAGAUUUCCAGGAAAUAACCAUCCAUACCUACUGUGCUUCCAGCUGCCAAAGCGAAGCUGGCUGGGGUACCAGAAAUCAACACUUUCAAAAGAAUGGCUUUACUAGACCACACGGACUCAUAUUAACCAUUACCAGGAACACUGAAAAAAAAAUGGCAUUUACUCAUUUACAAAAUCCUAAGUCAGUCUUGAACUCAAGCUCUGAGAUUCUAUAGUCCCUUCACUUCCCCAUCAGAGAAGCUCUACUGCAUGCCAUUCUCUACAGCUGCCUGUUAAAUUCUGUGCUAAAAUCUCAUGGUUUCUAAAGAAAGUGAAAUAAGAUGUCCCCAUGUGAGCUUCUGCUUCUGCCACCUGGUGGUGGUGGUGGUGGGGUCACCUCACCAUGGUGCCAUCCUGGCUCAUGUGGCUUUUGUCGAUUUCUGCCAAAUCUCUUCUCAAACACCUGUCUGAGGAGGACACCUAUUUUCACUUCCUUCUGUCAGAUGGGACAUGUAGGGAGUUGCAUGACUAAAACUAUUCAAAUACACCACCGUUUUUCUGCUAAGAGAAUGAUGUACAUAAUUUAAAAUUUGAAUUCAUUAAUUUGAAAGAUUAAAUGAGGUCAGCUUAAAGUUUUCCUGUAAUUACCAAAUAAAAAUGAUUGAAGAACCAUUUCUUCUGUUCUGCUUUUAUGACAACAGUCAUCACACUAGCAGAAUAAACAUUCAAAAUACAUAACAGGAUGUAUCCUAAGUACCAGAGCAACUUCAUAUAUAUAUGUAUGUAUAUAUAUGCAUGUGCAUAUAUAUAUACAUGUGUGUUUGUAUGUAUUUUGUGUAUCUACCUAUAUACACACACUACAUACACACACAUGAUAUAGUUACUGGUAAAAGUAAGUAAAUGCUCUAAUUUGAAAAUUGAAAUCAAAUACAAAAAAUAGAUUGAGUGACAUGCUGAUGUUAAGUUUUGGUUCUUUGUGUUGACUGCCUAUUGCUAAUUUAGCACUCAAUCAGAAUUAACUCUUGGAUUUCAAAGGCAGAUAAAUCAGUAAUUAGCCUUUUUUCUCCACAAAGGAGAGUGGUACCUUCACAAGCUUUAAUAGACCUAAUGAUGUCAUUUAUCAUUUAGUGCAGGGCAGGAAAAAAAAGGUUUGCAGCAAACAUAUCUGCAAAAACACCUUUCUUCUAGAAUUCAGAAUUUCCUUAAAUAUUUCACAUAAAACAGGUUAUACUUUACUGCUGAUAUUUGAGAAACAGUAAAAGCAGCAUAAAAAAAUUCUUCAAAACUUUCAAAAUGUCUGAAUAAAAACAAAGAUCCUGCCUUUAGGCAAGAUGGCUUCUAACUCUGAUUUAUGACAGAAAAAAUUGGGAGUUCCCAUUGUGGCGCUGCGGCAACGAAUCCGACUAGGAACCAUGAGGCUGCGGGUUCAAUUUCUGGCCUCGCUCAGUGGGUUAAGGAUCCGGCAUUGCCUUGAGCUGUGGUGUAGACUGCAGACAUGGCUUGGAUCUGGCAUUGCUGUGGCUCUGGUGUAGGCCGGCAGCUACAGCUCCGAUUCGACCCCCUAGCCUGGGAACCUCCAUGUGCCUUGGGUGCAGCCCUAAAAAGACAAAAAGACACCAAAAAAAAAAAAAAAAUUCUAAAUCUUUUUAUCUUUUUGCAUAAUUUCACAUAAUCUAGGUUAUUAUAGUUGAAUGAAUAUCUAAUAUGGAUGUCAAAGCUGAAUUUUAAAGAUACAGUAAACUUUUUUUUGAUAAUUAGUUUUCAUACAUUUAAACUGUAUAGCAUUUAAUUCAAGAUGAAAUUUUUUUUAAAAGAAGCCAUAGGCUUCCAAAUCAAAGAUUCUAGCACUUUCAACAAAUAAAGUAAAAAGGGAUGGAAUUCAUGAAAUACUGCACUAUAGAGUCAAAACUGUGAUGCUACAUCAGUAAAUAUAUUUAAGUAAGGUACCCAAUGGUCGAAAGAGCAGAGCCCUAUCCCAACCCUCAUGGACUUUUAGGAUUUUUUUCCUAGAGGUCUUUUAUUGAUUGAUCGAUUGAUUGAUUGAUGUCCAUGCCUGUGACAUGUGGAAGUUCCCGGGCCAGGGAUGGAACCGGAGCCACAGUAGUGACAACCCUCGAUCCUUAACCACUAGGCAACCAGGCAACUCCCUAGAAUUCCUUUCGACACUUUAUGUCACAACUUAGUGCAGCUUCUCAAAUCAAGAGAGAGAUUUCAUUGCAUACUUCAUUGGCCAUAUGGCACAGCCUUUUAUUUCAAAAUUUCUGGGGGGAUUCUGAUAAUGAAACUUCAAGAUAACAUGACCUAAAAAAAGCUUUUUGCUCUAGAAAUGGUCUUGCCUUUUAGAGAUCAUACCCACUUUCUGGCAAUAAAUAAGACAUCAUGAAAUACAACUUUUGAGCAGUCAGGUAUUCACAAAGGACACAACUGCAGCAUUCACAAGUAAGUGGGCACUGUGACAUGGCUGUCACCCGGUACUAAAGCAACCCCAGGACGUUGAGAUUGUUGGGUUAGAUUCAGUCACACUAAGCAGUGAGAAUCAUCUGGCAAAACAGUGCUUAAGAAAGAUGUGAAUUUCGAGAGCGUGGGGCUUGCACCUUCUUGAUAAACUCCCUCCCCAUCCAAGGUUAUUCUGCCAGGAGCUUCUCAUCAAAGAUGAUUGUGCUUUCUGCACAUGAGUCUUCACAGGAAAGACCAGGCUGAUUGAAAAAUAACCACAACCAAUCAACUGACCCCAACCGAGCUAUUUUACAAUUUCAGAAAUGUAUUACAGAGCAGUCACAAAAUCAAGCCCAUGAAUGCAAGGGAUGGAAAAAACAUGCCAGGGAACUGGUCCCUACAAUUUUCAAGAUGCUUCAUUGUCUCAAUUGCAUUCUUUGUCAAAAUGAAUGAAAACAGCAAGAUUAUUCAAUCUGAAAAGUCACAGAUGUCACAGGGGUAUAGAGUAAUUGCCUCUUUUUGUUUUUUCUUUAGCAGUGAAGGAAAAGCUCCUUUUCUGAAGCCCACACGGCAUAAUAGCACUUCAAGCAGGUUCCUUUGGAAAUCAAAAGUGAACAAGUUUCCCAAUGUUGGCUUUAGAAAAUCUAAAGAGAUGAUUCAAUUCAAACCAGGCUGAGCUCUUAAUCUGAGUGAUUUCAGCCAUGAAUUUUUGUAAAAUGAAGGGAAAGAAAAAAUUCCCAAUAGGCAAUUUACAUUUGCAAGCACUGGGCUGCAGAAUUCAUCAUCUUUUUCUUAAAAACGUGGCUCAAACUUAAUGGAAUUAUAAUACCUUCAUGAGGUUAAACAUUCACAGUCAGCCCUAGUCAUCCCUGUUCCUCUUUCCAUUUUUACUGUUUCAAACAUUUCAAUAUUGCCCACCACAAACCACUGAAAAUCAUCAUUUAUGUUUACUCCACUUAUUUCUUCAGGGAGCCAGACGAUUUUGACCAGGAGGCUCUAAGUACCAUUUGAAAAACUGAGUCUUUAAAAACUUUCCAUGUUUUAAACACUUGGUAAGAAAAAAGGUAACAGCCACUUGAAAUUAUCCAGCUUAUGUGCUUUAUGGUGUCUUUUCAAAAUGACAAUAUAAAUCAUUGUACAUAAAAAUCAAAGUAGUUAAUAUACAUUUUUAUCUGGCACUUUCUAGAAAUUAGGCGUUAAACAUAAAAUACCUUAUAAAUUUAUGUAAGAAAAAUAAAUGUUUAUAUUUUAAUCUCAGAUAGAUUACCUUAGGGUAGCAGUUCCUUUAGGAAAUUCCACUCCGUUUUGGUGUGGCAGCAGAGAUCAUCAGAAGUACACAUUCAAGUCCAAAGCCCUGGGGAGAUGGAUGCAGUGGCUGCCAGCCAAAUGUGUGGUCUGUGUCCCAAGAUAGAGAUUAAGGCUCUCUGUUUUGGAGCAGUGAGCUCUGGGCUAAAACAAGUACAGAAGUACCAUAGUAUUCACUGAAAAUACUGAAAAGGCUCUGAAGGCUUUCAAAUACAGGGGGACCAAAACAUUUUGACUAUAAAAAUAAAAUAAAGCAUCUAAAAAUGACUUCAAGUACUCUGGGAGAGGCUGCACACGUGGAGUGCCAAAAUCAGAAGGAAUGAAGCGCGAAGGAACUCAAGCGGUGUCCCCCCCAUCGCAGCCCCCAGCCGCUGGGCUCCGAUUCCCAGCUGCAGCCCUUUGAGGGGGGCGGGGAGCUGACAAACCACAACCGCAGUUUCUCACCACUGUCAAACACCUGUGCUGAAGGCCAAGGCCCAGCCUUGCGGGAGAACAUCCUUGGAGAGAACCAUUAUAAAUCAGAUUUCCAGGGGGGGAAAAAGCCAUUCAUUUUACCAUUAGGAGCAGAGAGCCAAAAGGGAACCCCAGCUCCGGAGAAUGGCAGUGUUUCAGGGAGGUGAGCUGUGGUUUGUGAUGAGAGCCCUUCUUCCGCACUGCAAAGCUUCCUUCAUGAACAGGGCGAGGCUGCUGACAGCUGAGAUCCUUCCAGAAGGAGCGGGGGGCGGGAAGGGCAGUGUGCUGGGGUGUGCCAGGGCCUGGCAGCAGGGUAUGUACCUUCACUGUUCCCCAAACUGACAAGCAGCUCUGGAGUCUCCAAUCGUUUCCGUUUCCUAAAGCAGCAUAUAAGGAGUGGCUGACGUCGCUUCUUUUCUGCAGCGGCACUGUCCCCGACAGCUGGUCCUACGCUGGCUGAGCCACCCUCCAGUCUGGCUGCUAGAGCCUGGUGAUGUCCCGGCUUUGCUGCAAGUCCCCGAUGCUCUCGUAGUCAUUCUCCUUUGGGCAAAGGCUGCGGUGACUGCUGGUCUCCGGGGCGGCCUUUUCUUCCUCUCUGUUAAGAGUCUGUAUUGCUUCAUAAUCCGGCUCCGGCUCCUCGCUGGGCCUCCCUGCUGCUGGGAGUGUGCUGACGCUGUUUGGGGUUUUCUCAAAGUCUUUAACUGUAGCAUAGAGGUCGUUACAGGAGGAGGGUGACCUCUGAGCAGCCACUUGGAUGGAGGUGUAGGUGGAUUCUGGUGCUUUAAGUGACUGUCCCGAUUUGUUCCCUGACUGUCCUUGUUUAUUUACUGAUGAGUACAUGGCUGAGAUCUGGAAAAAAAAAAAAAAAAA